AUUUAAAAGUAGCUACAGCAUCAAUUUAAAGGUUCAAUGAAGAAUGUACAGCCAUGUAGAACUACAAUUGGGGGAAACAGGAAUAAUCUAAUGGAAAUAGACCGAGUCGCGAUACCUAUCAAGCCCCGUCAGCUCAGCUUCUUCUUGGCCUCUCUGUGCAGCAUUUCUUUCUCCCAGGCUGUAAGCUCCUUCAGUGCUGGAGCAGUGUCAUUCAUCCAUUUGUUC
rnacentral:lncRNA from 1 species